rnacentral:rRNA from 1 species
UCAAUAAGCGGAGGAAAAGAAACUAACAAGGAUUCCCUUAGUAACGGCGAGUGAAGAGGGAAGAGCUCAAAUUUGAAAUCUGGCAGUCUACGGCUGUCCGAGUUGUAAUCUAGAGAAGUGUUUUCCGUGCUGGACCGUGUACAAGUCCUUUGGAACAAGGCGUCAUAGAGGGUGAGAAUCCCGUCUACGACACGGACUACCAGUGCUCUGUGAUACACUCUCAACGAGUCGAGUUGUUUGGGAAUGCAGCUCAAAAUGGGUGGUAAAUUCCAUCUAAAGCUAAAUAUAGGCGAAAGACCGAUAGCGAACAAGUACCGUGAGGGAAAGAUGAAAAGCACUUUGGAAAGAGAGUUAAACAGUACGUGAAAUUGUUGAAAGGGAAACGCUUGAAGUCAGUCGCGUCUUCAGAAACUCAGCCUGGCUUCUGCCUGGUGUACUUUUCUGUUGGACGGGCCAGCAUCAGUUUUGGCCGCCAGAAAAAGGUGAGAGGAAGGUGGCACCCUUCGGGGUGUGUUAUAGCCUCUCAUCGUAUGUGGCGGCUGGGACUGAGGACCGCAGCACGCCUUCAAUGGCCGGGUUCGCCCACGUUACGUGCUUAGGAUGCUGGCGUUAUGGCUUU